rnacentral:ncRNA from 2 species
AUCAACCGCUCUGGAGAGCCGCCCCUGCGGGGGCGCACCGAAGGGGACCUGCCGCAGCAUGACACCAGCGUCAGCCGGGGCAGGAUAAUCUCUCAGGUUACGGGACAGGGUUUUCGGC